GUCUAUGGCCAUUCCAUCCUGAACGUGCCCGAUCUCGUCUGAUCUCGGAAGCUAAGCGGGGUCAGGCCUGAUUCGUACUUGGAUGGGAGACCACCUAGGACUAUCAGGUGCUGUAGGCG
rnacentral:rRNA from 1 species